rnacentral:rRNA from 1 species
AGUGAACGCUGGCGGUAGGCCUAACACAUGCAAGUCGAACGGCAGCACAGUAAGAGCUUGCUCUUACGGGUGGCGAGUGGCGGACGGGUGAGGAAUACAUCGGAAUCUACUUUUUCGUGGGGGAUAACGUAGGGAAACUUAUGCUAAUACCGCAUACGACUUACGGGUGAAAGCAGGGGAUCUUCGGACCUUGCGCGAUUGAAUGCGCCGAUGUCGGAUUAGCUAGUUGGCGGGGUAAAGGCCCACCAAGGCGACGAUUCGUAGCUGGUCUGAGAGGAUGAUCAGCCACACUGGAACUGAGACACGGUCCAGAGUCCUACGGGAGGCAGCGGUGGGGAAUAUUGGACAAUGGGCGCAAGCCUGAUCCAGCCAAACCGCGUGGGUGAAGAAGGCCUUCGGGUUGUAAAGCCCUUUUGUUGUGAAAGAAGAGCAGCAGGUUAAUACCCCGCGGUUCUGACGGUACCCAAAGAAUAAGCACCGGCUAACUUCGUG